CUCUGAAGAGAGAGUCAAAGACCGUGAAACCGCUCAGAGUAUAAGCCAAUGGAGCUUGGAAGGCUUCCGCAGAUAUCGUUCACCCUGGCAGUGUCCUUGAGACCUUGAGUGUGGCUCGUCAGACGUAGCAUUGAGUUUGCCCGACAGUUGUCGUGCGGGGGGUUCAGUCUGUCGGACUUUGGCUUCGGCUGAAGGGCUCUUCAGGCUGUCCCCUUUUGAAUGGACGUUCAGAACAGCUUGGUCUAAUGCGGUUAUGCCCACCACAGCACGUUGUGAGGUCACCCACAGGCUCAAACUGCCGAUCGCGAUCCCAGGACGAUGGCAACGAUGCGUAGUCGAAGAUGAUUUCUCACACGAGAUUCACACUCUCACACGCGUGUCUAGUCCUGGGUCGGGCGGCGACCGAGAUAAACCUGGUACGAUCCUCUUGCGACGAGCUGCUUUCUGGCCAGACCGACGCCCAGGCGCUUCCACUGUGCCGGAAGCGUCAAUCCCAGGCGGUGUGAACCCAGCUGCAUUAUGCAAGGUCUCUCAGCCGGGCGUUGGUCUGAGUGGUGUUAAGUCCAGCACCAUCGGUCACGUCUCGAAACACGGGCCAAGGAGUAUAGCAUGUGUGCAAGUCUAAGGGUCCCAUAAAACCCGCAGGCGAAGUGAAAGCGAGACUGUGGCGGGGGAGCCACGGCAAACCCGCCAAGCCUGGUGGCGCUUGCGUCACCGGCUUCUAACAGAGCUGAUCCUGUUUUCUCGGUUGAUUCUUGGUGCAGGCGCAAGCUCCGGGCUCACGUACAGCACUGGUCACGUUUCGGCGUGGCUGUGUUGUGAGCACCGUGAGCAUGCAU
rnacentral:rRNA from 1 species